UACGGAGGGUGCAAGCGUUAUCCGGAUUUACUGGGUUUAAAGGGUGUGUAGGCGGACUUUUAAGUCAGGGGUGAAAUCCCGAGGCUCAACCUCGGAACUGCCUUUGAUACUAUUGGUCUUGAAUGUUGUUGAGGUGGGCGGAACGGGUCAUGUAGCGGUGAAAUGCAUAGAUAUGACAUAGAACACCCAUUGCGAAGGCAGCUCGCUACACUAUCAUUGACGCUGAGGCACGAAAGCGUGGGGAGCAAACAGG
rnacentral:rRNA from 1 species